AAAACUUUCAACAACGGAUCUCUUGGUUCUGGCAUCGAUGAAGAACGCAGCGAAAUGCGAUAAGUAAUGUGAAUUGCAGAAUUCAGUGAAUCAUCGAAUCUUUGAACGCACAUUGCGCCCUUUGGUAUCCCGAAGGGCAUGCCUGUUCGAGCGUCAUUA
rnacentral:rRNA from 1 species